AGUCGAACGGUAGCAGGUUUAGGAAACUAGAUGCUGACGAGUGGCGGACGGUGAGUAACGCGUAGGAAUUUGCCGAGUAGUGGGGGAUAACUUGGGGAAACUCAAGCUAAUACCGCAUAAGCCCAAGGGUGAAAGGGGGGGACCGAAAGGCCUCUUGCUACUUGAUGAGCCUGCGUAGGAUUAGCUAGUUGGUGGGGUAAAGGCCUACCAAGGCGAAGAUCCUUAACUGGUCUGAGAGGACGACCAGUCACACUGGGACUGAGACACGGCCCAGACUCCUACAGGAGGCAGCAGUGGGGAAUAUUGGACAAUGGGCGCAAGCCUGAUCCAGCAAUACCGCGUGUGUGAAGAAGGCCUUAGGGUUGUAAAGCACUUUCAGAGGUGAAGAAGGCCUAUGUACUAAGAUUGCAUAGGAUUGACGUUAGCCUCAGAAGAGGCACCGGCUAACUCUGUGCCAGCAGCCGCGGUAAUACAGAGGGUGCGAGCGUUAAUCGGAAUUACUGGGCGUAAAGGGUGCGUAGGUGGUUAGAAAAGUUGGGCGUGAAAUCCCUGGGCUUAACCUAGGAAUGGCGUUCAAGACUAUUUAGCUAGAGUAUGGUAGAGGUAAGUGGAAUUUCCGGUGUAGCGGUGAAAUGCGUAGAGAUCGGAAGGAACAUCAGUGGCGAAGGCGGCUUACUGGACUGAUACUGACACUGAGGCACGAAAGCGUGGGGAGCAAACAGGAUUAGAUACCCUGGUAGUCCACGCUGUAAACGAU
rnacentral:rRNA from 1 species